CGUCAAAUCAUCAUGCCCCUUAUAUCUUGGGCUACACACGUGCUACAAUGGCUCGAACAAAGUGAAGCGAGACCGCGAGGUUAAGCGAAGCACAAAAAACGAGUCCCAGUUCGGAUUGCUGUCUGCAACUCGAGAGCAUGAAGUUGGAAUCGCUAGUAAUCGCGAAUCAUCAUGUCGCGGUGAAUACGUUCCCGGGCCUU
rnacentral:rRNA from 1 species